GUGUCAGCAGCCGCGGUAAUACGGAGGGUGCAAGCGUUAAUCGGAAUUACUGGGCGUAAAGCGUGCGUAGGCGGUUGUUUAAGUCAGAUGUGAAAGCCCUGGGCUUAACCUGGGAACUGCAUUUGAUACUGGGCAACUAGAGUUUAGUAGAGGGGAGUGGAAUUUCAGGUGUAGCGGUGAAAUGCGUAGAGAUCUGAAGGAACACCAGUGGCGAAGGCGGCUCCCUGGACUAAAACUGACGCUGAGGUACGAAAGCGUGGGUAGCAAACAGGAUUAGAUACCCUCGUAGUCC
rnacentral:rRNA from 1 species